rnacentral:lncRNA from 1 species
UAUGAUUUUUUUGUUUUGUUUUUUGCCUUUCUGUGUAUCCUGCUAAAUAUAAACUUUUCCUUCAACAGGUCUUGCUGGGAGCUUUCCCUGUGAUCCUUUCAUAUCACUGAGAGCUUGAGAUGCUUGUGAGCCCAGGCAUACACUCGUGCACGCCCACACAAAGAGAAAUGGGAAAAGAGUGUUGGAGAUUGAGAAUAAUUCUGACUCAAACUCAAAUGCAAACAUUGUGCUCGAUGUUCAGAAAGGACCAAGAAUUGAGAUUAUAAAGAUGCCACAAAUGUUCAACAUAAGGAAAUAAGAGGAGACCAUUCAGGACUUUUAUUUGAUGGUAAGGACAAAGGUAGAGUCAUAAUCUGAUUCUAUCCUUAACAGACUUUUA